rnacentral:lncRNA from 1 species
CUGAUUCACUGUUAGGAGUGCCUUAGAUUUUCAUUAGGCUGCGAGAUGCAAAUCUAAAUUAAUUUUUGGUUUAUUUAGUAAUACUUAAGUAUUUUAUUUCUGCCUACUACAGAAGUGAAAAUUUGGGGUGGUUUGAUUUUUUUUUUUUCCAAGCAGAGUGCAUUAGAGACUCAUGAGAAUAUUUGUCAGCUUUCAGCUCUUCUCUUUUCAAAGGAUACAUGCAUAUUCCAAUUUAAUGUCCAAAACAUGCAGAUAACAAGAACAUGAGAUAAUUAGAGGAAAUGCUAGCUUUCUUUUUCCGAAAAUGGUGAUCAAACAACACACUCUUUACAUCUGAACAAUUCCUGACAGGAAUACAGGAUUUCAGGAUUCAUGAAUAUUCGUACUUCCAACCAUAUGUUGAUAUGUUUUAAUCUCUUUUUGUGUUCAAAAUUCAUAAAUCACUAGAACUAUGGGAAUAGGAUGUGAGUGCAUCUGUUUUUCUUCCUUUAGAUGUAUCUCUUCCAGAGUAAGAGAAUAGGGAGAAAGAAAAGCAAGGGGACAGAAGGGAAAUGGAGCAGGGUGGAAAGAAAUAGAGAACAUAGGAAGGGAGCAGAUAGAAAAGGGAAAAGUGUAAGCAGUCUUUUCCAUCUGAAGUGCUUUCCCAUAGACUAGCAUUUUCCUUUUCGUUGGAAUAUGUUCUUAAAACCAGAAAUGUUGCCUUUUCCAUUUGAUGUCUUCCAGAUGCUCUGUAAACAGUAAACACAAUGCAAAUGUUAUCAGCAGAAAAUGUGUCAUCAGCAUGAUGCUGCCAUUAAGCAUAUUUUCUCUGCUCCAGCUUGCUUGUGAGAAUCUGUCAGCAAGGAGAUUCAGAUUUCUGACUGUGAGAGUGAGAGCCAAAACGUUCAGCAGAAUUUACAGAGAGUAGGGUGGUAAAUGUUAGCAGUGGGAGCAGAGGAAUUACAGGUAUAUAAUUUAUCUUUGCGUUUUGUCAUUUUUAAUACUUCCCAUUCCUCCUAAGCAAGAUUCUUUGAUGCUGUAGAACUGGUGUUAUGAAAACAACAGGACGAAUCACCUUUCAAACUUCUAAAUGACAAAAUUAAUGUAAUCAACAUGAUAUGGAACAUCUUCAUGAUUAUACAUACCUCCCACAGUGAAGCAAGUUAAAGAGAUAGUCCAGUUCAGCUAAGACAGUUUUAGUUCGG